rnacentral:rRNA from 1 species
CCCUUAGAUGUUCUGGGCCGCACGCGCGCUACAAUGAUGAAUUCAACGAGUUUAUAACCUUGGUUGAAAAGCCUGGGUAAUCUUUUGAACUUUCGUCGUGAUGGGGCUAGACCCUUGCAAUUAUUGGUCUCCAACGAGGAAUUCCUAGUAACCGCAAGUCAUCAGCUUGCAUUGAUUACGUCCCUGCCCUUUGUACACACCGCCCGUCGCACCUACCGAUUGAAUGGUCCGGUGAAAUCUUCGGAUUGAGACUUUGAUUUCUUCACGGAAAACGCUGUUUUAAAAAGUUGAUUAAACCUUACCAUUUAGAGGAAGGUGAAGUCGUAACA